rnacentral:rRNA from 1 species
GACGAACGCUGGCGGCGUGCUUAACACAUGCAAGUCGAGCGGUAAGGCCCUUUCGGGGGUACGACGAGCGGCGAACGGGUGAGUAACACGUGGGUGGACCUGCCCUCCAGCUCUGGGAGUAAGCCUGGGAAACCGGGGUACUAAUACCGGAUAUGACUCCAUGACGCAUGUUGUGGGGUGGAAAGCCUUGUGCGGCUGAGGAUGGGCCCGCGGCCUAUCAGCUUGUUGGUGGGGUGGAUGGCCUACCAAGGCGACGACGGGUAGCCGGCCUGAGAGGGCGACCGGCCACACUGGGACUGAGACACGGCCCAGACUCCUACGGGAGGCAGCAGUGGGGAAUCUUGCGCAAUGGGCGAAAGCCUGACGCAGCGACGCCGCGUGAGGGAUGACGGCCU